rnacentral:rRNA from 1 species
AGAGUUUGAUCCUGGCUCAGAUUGAACGCUGGCGGCAUGCUUUACACAUGCAAGUCGAACGGUAACAGGGUGCUUGCACCGCUGACGAGUGGCGAACGGGUGAGUAAUGCAUCGGAAUGUACCGUGUAAUGGGGGAUAGCUCGGCGAAAGCCGGAUUAAUACCGCAUACGCCCUGAGGGGGAAAGUGGGGGACCGAAAGGCCUCACGUUAUACGAGCAGCCGAUGUCUGAUUAGCUAGUUGGUGAGGUAAGAGCUCACCAAGGCGUCGAUCAGUAGCGGGUCUGAGAGGAUGAUCCGCCACACUGGGACUGAGACACGGCCCAGACUCCUACGGGAGGCAGCAGUGGGGAAUUUUGGACAAUGGGCGCAAGCCUGAUCCAGCCAUGCCGCGUGUCUGAAGAAGGCCUUCGGGUUGUAAAGGACUUUUGUCCGGGAGCAAAUCCUAGUGGUUAAUAACCGCUGGGUCUGAGAGUACCGAAGAUA